GGGCCUGUGGGGUAGCUUGGUAUCCUACCAGCUUGGGGUGCUGGUGACCCGAGUUCAAAUCUCGGCGGGCCCA
rnacentral:tRNA from 1 species